CUUUUUGCAGGGUUGAAUUUGAAGAUGUGAACCGCCUCCAAGAUGGCCAGUCCAAGCAUUCACCAGAAGCUUUCUAUGGCGGUUCUUUGUGGAAGGUCAGUGUGCAAGCCUUCAAUGACGAAGAUCCGAGGGGGAGGCGCCCACUUGGUCUUUUCCUGCAUAGGCGCAAAGCAGAGGACGUGGGUCCUUACAGAAAGGUGGACUUUUUACGGAUGAGAG